UUAAUUCGCUGCGCGGGGCGGCUUUCGCAGUCCAGGUACCGAGAGCGCGGACGGUGGGUGCAAUGGGCUGCGCAGGAAGGAAUGGAGAAUUCGCCGCCUAGUCUGUGGCUGAGAUGGAGCUCUGAACAAACCAGCACUCUCCCAGCACCAAAUGAUAUUAGGGCCACUUGAUUACAAAUGACUAUGCUAAUGUACUGCUGUUUCCGUCCCCAAACCACGGAAUGAAACAUCUCUCUAUGACAAAGAGGACUUACUUGAUUCUUCUCCUGGACCAGAGGAUAAGAACGGUGACCUCAAGGAGGAGAAGCACUCACCAGAUGAAGAGGAACAGUACUUCCUGGGGUCCUGCUUUCCUUGCCAGGUGUCACCAAGCUCUCUUUAAACUCAGAACACAACCAUUUUGAUUCAUCGGCCCCCAUGGAGCCAACGCUUGAGAACUGACCUACUAUAGGCCAGGACUCUGCUUUAGGUAUGGAUGAGGCAUGCUCUUUCAGAAGCUGUGAGAGAAUAAAAACGAAUGUACCGUCACUCCAAACACGUGAACAGAAAUGCUGUGACAACUCAGAACACGGUUUUCCGCCCUUGGAAUGCCUCGUUCACAAGGAAAGGCUGAAAAUAUUAGCGACCAAGUUCAUACCCAUGGGUAGUUUUUUUUUCCUUCUUUGGGAAAUAUUUUUAAAUACUGAAGAUAUUUUAUUUUAAUGGAGUAAGUGGACACAAGUAUUCUUCUUCCAAAAUUCUUUGAUUUGUACUAAAAGCAAAAAGAGAUUAAAAAAAAUAAAAAGAAGACCCAUUUUAGUAGCGAUGUCAGAUAAAGCACCAACCUGCCACACGAAAUUAGAUUUCUGCCUUGAAGUUGCAAUGGUUUAACAUACCUAAACAAUACUAGGAGGUCAAGCUAUUGUAUAUUUUGACGCGUAUCAUUUGAAAGAGGUUUAACUCUUGGGAUCUAGGCAGCUGUGACGCUCUGUAAAUAAAAGGGAAUAUAUUUACAUUUAGAUACAUACUACCAUAAGCACUGCAGAAGACUGACCUGCAUUUCCUGCUUUGUCUGAUAUUUAUGCAAAGCUGCAGAAACAAUUCAGAAAAUACUGGGAAAUUUUAUCCAUUUAAACUCGUACCGAAGGUCUUCCUAGAGGCUGGAGAUGGCAACAACAAAAAAAAGCCUCAGUUCCUGCCCCAGGGGAGCUCAUAUUCUGAUGGAUGUAUUGUUUAGUUUAUACGUACUAUUUUCCUUAUCACAGAGUAGGCAUUAAUAUUUAUAAACGCACUUCCCCAAAGAGCCCAAAUAGUUCUCAACUUCCACCCUGGGUGCAGCAUGGCAUAGGAAACAGGACUGAGCCAACAACAGGACUCGGCUUCUAUUUUGGGCUAUUCUGGGCUCAGUCCUUGAUCAGGUACAUGGCCCUAGCCAAGGCCCUGGGCUUCUCUUUACACCUCAGUGGAACAGACGUCUGAUCACCCAUCUUCCUUGGAAUGCAGCUAUGAUGCAACACGGGUUCCCGACAGUGGAAAGUGGCCGCAAACUCUAAGAUGCUACUCCGCUUCCAGUAAGACUGGGAUGCUGCACGAUAUGGGCCAUCACCGGGCCGUUCUGAACCACCGGCCCACAGGCUAAUACACACUAGUGCUUACCCAACACUCAGCACGUGCCUUGCAUUCAUUUCCUCAUUUAAUCCUUAGGCAAUUCUGUGAGGGAAGUACUGUUGUUAUGCCCAUUUUAUGGAUGUCAAGAGGGGUUAAGGAGCAAGUCAAGGUCACACGGCUUGCAACCAGGUCAGGAUUUGGCCCCGGGUGUGGGCAUCCGCCCACAAAGCUGUGCACUUAGCCAGUAUGUGGGACCCUCUCCUCCCCAGGUCAAGACAGAAAGAUGGUGGCUUCGAGACCUUGCCCGCUUUCAGCUGUGGUCUCACUUACAAAAGGAAAUUAAAGUGAAAAGUUGUCAUUGGCCGGGCGGAAUUCUCACACAACAUAAAUAAUUUAUGGAAAAAGAGGGGCUUUUAAGAAAGCCCCUUUAAGGAAUUUACUAAGGUCGAUAAACUGACUCCUAGAGAGAGGUGGGGAAAACUUUAAACCUUAACUUGCUGGUUGUUUAAUUUUGUUAAAGACCUUUCUUGGCUUAUUUUCAUACCAGCAGCAAAUGUCAUUGUCAUAAUUACAGUUCUCAGGGCAAUGGUUUAGCAAACAAAACACAUCAUAGCUCAGCUGUAGUCUUCACUCAACACUAUUUUCUGUUCUGUGUUGAAUUUGUGUUAAAAAUCCUUGAUGUGCUGAUCAAAAGCUAUAAUACUUAUAUGAAUAAAAAAUCUCUAACUAUCUUUAUUACAAGAAAUAAAAAAACUAAAAAUCCUCCACGUACUUUUGCCAUUUAGAAUCGUUAACUCUACACCUAUAAAUGAGGCAAAAUGUUAAAAUACAAGUAAUUACUGGAAACUAUAAUUAGACAAUCAAUUAUCAAGUGCCUACUAUUUGCCCAGAAUUGUGCUAGAGAUACUAUGAAGCUGCCUUCAAAAUAUACCAAUUAUAAAUGAAAAAGGACAGAACAUACAUUAAAUUUUUAAAAAAUGGUAAAAUAGUAAAAAUUCUGUUACCUUCCUAAGCCUAAAAUGUCCCCAGUUAUCUUUUUGAUUUCCUUCCUUGAAAGCGUCCCGGGGUUGAGCCAAUAAGGUAAACACUAAAAAGAUAUAAAGCACAAGUUACAGAACAUAGUGAUUUGUGGACUCCCCAAAUCACAAAAUAUGCAGGAAAACUAACAUUAAGCAAGAAAUAUUCUAAGAGCCAACCCACUUUCUUGAAAUGCCUCUUCAGAGGAGUAACUGACACUUAAAAUCAUUUUUGAGCACAUCAAGUAAUGGUGGGACACCCACGGGGUAUAAGGUACCAGGCAAAGAGCUCAGCAAUUUUAAGAGAAAGCUCUCCGGCUGGGAUGGGAGGGGUGGGGUGGUGGCACUCAGGUGAGGGGCAAGAUCUCCCGGCCUCCACUUCAGUGCCUGAGGACCAGGAGGUGCAGACAGUGACAGGCCCUGCUCUCAUCACGUCCCGAAGGACAGCCAUCUCCUGCCGGGCCCCUGUGUUCCAGACCUCACAUGGUGUUCAAGCGCACACAGUGACUACCAAGAAAUGGCCGGAACCCUACAAACCCUUGUGUCUUCUGGUGCCAGUCGGCGUGAAUGAGGUUGGAGCACUUAUCAGUACAGACACGUGCAGCAGACUGAAAUGACAAACGCAUUUCCUACUGUGGGUUGCAGUUUAAGUUUGGAAGAUGCUGCAUUUUCAAGAGACUGAUCCUUCUUCAUACUCUACAGACGCCAGACUUGUCACCAGCGUGUACCUGGGCUUGAGAUUCUUUUCCCUUAUAGGUUACUACAAAGUACUGAGUAUAGUUCCCUGUGCCACAGAGUAGUUCCUUGUUGGUUAUCUAUUUUAUAUAUAGUAGUGUGUAUAUGUUAAUCCCAGUAUUUCACGUCUUUAAAUUACAAAAUUAGAAUGAAGACUGUCACUCUGUAAAUUGAUAUUUAGCUCAGAAAAAGCAAUGGUCAAAAAACUUGGCUUCUGAGUUUAGUUUUGCGAUUUGUUGUGUGCUUUUGGGCAAGUCUAAGCACAAAAGUAAGGAUGAUAAUAAUUUCAACAGAUAAUAUUUAAUGGGUGCUUCUUUUUGGCAAAUGCACCAAAUUCUUUGCCCAAUAACCCUAUGAGAUACAGUAUUAGUAAUUCAUUUUAAAGAUGAAGAAAUGAGGCUUUAAGUGGUUAAGUGAUGGGUCCAGAAUGACACAGCUAGCAGGUAGAGAGCUGGGACAGAACCCAGGAAGUCUGAACCUGGAUCACCAGGUGUGCAAAAUGGAUAAAGUGACAGCAUCCACUUAUUAUUUGACUUAACGUGACCCAGCUUAGUCAAAUGACACUAUGUUGUUAAAAAAAAUUCAAAAAUUCAUUUUAAAGACAAGAUAUAGGGCUUCCCUGGUGGCGCAGUGGUUGAGAACCUGCCUGCCAAUGCAGGGGACACGGGUUCGAGCCCUGGUCUGGGAAGAUCCCACAUGCUGCGGAGCAACUAGGCCCGUGAGCCACAACUACUGAGCCUGCGCUCCGCAACAAGAGAGGCCGUGAUAGUGAGAGGCCCGCGCACCGCGAUGAAGAGGGGCCCCCGCUUGCCGCAACUAGAGAAAGGCCUUGCACAGAAACGAAGACCCAACACAGCCAUAAAUAAAUAAAUAAAUAAAAAUAAAGGAAUUCCUUUAAAAAAAAAAAAAAAAAGACAAGAUAUAAAGGUAUUUCAAUAAGUCAGGAUGGGGCAAUCACCAUGUCCCUCAGACUAGAGCUGGGAGCUUACGAAGGCUCUUCACACGAGGUCUGGAAGACAGGGCUCGUUACACCCUCUAGUGGCUGGCCUGAAGCACGCCACUAGGCCUGCCACCACCUCUCCUAAACUUUUCAGUACAUUUGAAAAACACUUUGUAUUUCCAUUGAUUUUAUCGCUGGUUUUCAGGAUUCCCGUGUUAUUUUAUUUUCUGCCCACUAUUAGUCUGAUAAGUGCUAUCCUAUUGCAGUUUAACCUCUUCUGUCUUUGGAAACAAAUGCAAAACAAGGGGAUUUUAGGCAACUGCUAAGCAAAGGCAUAUCUUGUGUAGAAGGUGAGCUGCAAACAGGAUGGGUAAAGAGAUGGAAUAAUUUAAAACUCCAACUACAUAAAGUACAGUGAGUUACAUCACAGGAAAAAUGUUGUGAGACGGGUUUAAAAUUGAUCAGGUUGAGAUUUCUCACUGUUUUAAUCUUUAAAAAAAUACACAUACACACAUAGAUAAUAUUCUAUAGCUAGAAGAAGUGAUAAAACUUGAGUUGGAAUUCUUUUACCUUGUAUGGAUGGAGGAAAAAGGACGUUAGAAGGAAAACGGAAAAGAAAAAUAAUUAGGUUCUAUGUAGUUCACUCUUGUCUCUGUACUCCAAGAGUAGAAAUCCUGAGCCAAUUUC